rnacentral:ncRNA from 1 species
AUCUGUCUGCCACCGGGUAGACGGAAAAAUGCCUGAAUACAUUCCGGUAGGUCAUGGAAGGAAUGUAUUUGGGCAUUUUUUAUUU